rnacentral:rRNA from 1 species
UAGGGAAUCUUCCACAAUGGACGAAAGUCUGAUGGAGCAACGCCGCGUGAGUGAAGAAGGGUUUCGGCUCGUAAAACUCUGUUGUUAAAGAAGAACAUAUCUGAGAGUAACUGUUCAGGUAUUGACGGUAUUUAACCAGAAAGCCGCGGCUAACAACGUGCCAG